UCUCAGUGAUCUAAUGGCUCUGGUUCCCCUCUUCUCUCACCUAGAAAAUCCUGUUAUAUCUCUUCUUCUUCUUCUGCCUCUUGUUUCUCUUCUCUCCCGAACUCUUCGCAGCCGAAAUUUACUCCAAAGGAAAAACCAUUUUCUUUCGUUAUCUCUCCAAUUUAUCUGCUAUAUCACGAACAGAUCUUUAUCAAUCAAAAUCACAUUCGUCUUUAUCUCUCAAAUCCAUCUGCUAUAUCACAGAAACCAACAGAUCUUCAUCACCAAAAACAAUUAACAGAUCUACAAUCCAUCUACUCCAUGUAUUUGAUGAUUCUUGUUCUUCCUUGGUAUUAUCUAGAUUCGUAAAUUUCUAAGAGAGAAAAAGAUUUGUGCUGAUAAUGGAAGGUGCUUCUUACACAGGGUUUCGUUUCCUACUUCAAUCAAUUACUGGAUGAGUCAUCUUCAUCUAAAUUCACUCGGAGCAUGGAGCUAGUAUAAUUUCUACCAUCCCAACUGUACCAUAUAUUUUUGAUUUUACAGAUGGAAGCAAGAUGAAAGUUCAGAAUUCGGCGGCAUUAACUGCGGAUGCUGGAAAACGCGUAACAAAAUGUUGGGAACCAACUGUUUCCGCUACCAUUAUUAUUCCUAGUGAGUAUGUAGGUGUUGUUAUUACCCUUUGCUAUGAUAGGAGAGGGGAACAAUCUGAGUACACAUUUAUCGAUAGACUAUUUAUAUAUUGCAGGUUAUUUUGGAUUUGUAACUUCAAGAACAGUGCUUCUUAACUUAUGUAAGGGUGAUAAUGCAAUUGAUCGUGUGAUCCCGAGGGGAAGCUAUGAACCUAAGGAAGAAGUUGGUGACUUAAUGAGAUAAUUCUAGCGUAUACGAGAAUUGUAAGAGAAAUCCAAGAUGGGUAGCAUUAGCACUAUCUAAGAGAGCGGAAUUGUUCGAGUUCCUCGUCCAACAUGAUCUUGUUUCGAUGGUUUGCAGUUGUCUUUAUGAACCUGAGAACUUAGAUAUACGUUAUGAAUUCAGAUUUGGUUACUUAUUUAUGUGAUUUUGAAUAAAUUUGAACUGAAUUUAUGAAUUGAAUGAAUAUUUAAUGGAA